GGCUAACGCUGGCGGCGUGUCUUAGCCAUGCAAGUCGAGCGGACUUAUGGGGUAACUUAUAAAGUCAGCGGCGGACGGCGGAGUAACACGUAGCUAACCUACCCUCUGGACGGGGAUAACCUACCGAAAGGUGGGCUAAUACCCGAUGUAGUCAUCCUGUAUAGGGGUGAUGAAAGGUGGGCUUCUGUUUACAAGCUCAUGCUGGAGGAGGGGCUGCGGCCUAUCAGGUAGUUGGUAGGGUAAUAGCCUACCCAAGCCGAUGACGGGUAGCCGGCCUGAGAGGGUGACCGGCCCGAGGGGCACUGAGACUACGGGUCCCACUCCUACGGGAGGCAGCAGGCUAGAAAUUUGGGCAAUGGGGAAACCCCUGACCCAGUGACGCCGCGUGCAGGAAGGAGCCCUUCGGGGUGUAAACUGCUGUCGUGUAGGGAGAAGGGUACUAAGGUGAACAAUCUUAGUACUUGACGGUACUACAGGAGGAAGCCCAGGCUAACCUCGUGCCAGCAGCCGCGGUAAAAGUCGACGUCGUCCGU
rnacentral:rRNA from 1 species